UUAUCUCAGCCCUCAAAUUUUACCUUUUUCCUGUUUCUUCCCCCCCCAUCCCACAGGGCUGUUGGGGAUGGAGCGAGCCAGUGAGCGGCUGUGUGGUACAUAGCUGCCGGCUGGGGUUAAACCAUGGCAUCCCCUGCUAUGAGGUUGGGUUGUGUGGGCACUGGGAGCCGACCUGCGCUGCUGGAGAGUGGGAUGAGCUGGGAUGGGGUGUGCGGAGCACCCUGGCAAGAAAUAGCAAGCAGCCCAGAGCCCUGAAGGACUGCAUCAUUGCACAGGAGAGUGUCGUUGCACAGGAGAGCGUCGCUGCUGUGAGGUGUUUUGGAAGACAGCGUUUUGUCACCUCUUUUGCAUGGCUUGGUCAGGAAUAUCCAGUGCCGAAGUGUACGUGGCUGGGAGCUGCAGAGCUUAGAGCUCUUCCUGAGUGGGGAGGAUGCCAUCACCAGGGUUCUCGCCUGCAGGCUGGUGACUUGUCCAGGCACAGGACCCAGCUCCUCUCCUGGGGGUGGAAGUGAAUGGCAGAGAAGACUAAAGGAAACCCCACAAGGCUCUCCCUGUUUUGGGGAGAGGAGGUCCCUACUGCAGGAGCAGUGGCUGGAGCUGUAGGCUGCUCCCUUCGGGCCAGGUGGAGAGCAGAGGUGGGUGGGAGAGGCGAGAUCACAUCCCAUCAUUUACUUUAUUGAGCAGCUUGUGGGGGCUGUCAGCACAACACAGUUUUUGCUGGGCACCCCCAGGCUCUGAGGCAGCCCAGUGCAGGGGUUUUAAGGUGGAAAACUCCGGUCCAGUCCUCCUAACCACCUUCCAUUGUCUUCCCUCCAUCCAGCUGGUAUGGUCCAGUCCACUUCUCCCUGGCUUUCUCUGAGCACCUUUCCUGUGCUGCCCAGCUUCCCUGGAUAACUGCUGGGAUAACUGCUGGUUGGAUGGGUCUGCACUUCAGCUUUACCGGUGGAGUUGAGCUGGUUAAGGGGUAUGUCACACCAGUAACACCUUUGGUGUGGAUGCAGCAGCUGGAUCCCUUGCACUGGUAGAAGCCAUCAUGUUAAUACUGCUGUAAGCUCUUCUGCAUCAGGGGAUUUUUGCAAGGUAGCAAACCCUAUAGGCUCAAAGUCAGCCAGAGGCAGGUACGGGCCAGCCCCUCUGCUGCCCGCUUGCAUGCUGCUUGCCUUUUGUCUCAGGUCAUUUUGUGCCUUUCCUGAAGUCCCAACAGCUGGAUUUAAGAGAUUGCUCGCCUUGCUUUUUUUUCUUCCUGGUCAGCUAAACUAAAACUUUUGAUCUUUUCACUGGUGCUGCAGGGGUAGCAUCCUAUGAGGUCCUGUGUAAAUCUCAGCUGGGGUUGGGGAGCUAUUGCCAGUAACUUAGAAAGGAGGAGAAAAAUCCAACCUCAGAGUACUAAAAAAAAAAAAAAAAAAAAAGCCACAACCUGCAACUCGUGAUUAAGACUUUGUAUUUUGAGGCCUAGAUUCGAUCAUGUUGCAGCCAUCUCUUAUUGAAAAUGUUGGCUGAGCAAAAUCCUGCCAAAAUAAAAUGCAUUAUAUUGCCUUGUGCAGUUCCCUGCCCAGGUGGGCGGUGAGCCCUGAAGGCACGAGUGGAAGGGGCUUGCAGGCUGUGCAAGGAGUGAGCGGUGCAAGAGGCUGAAGUGUUACAGCCUGGGUAGGUUUAGGAAAGGUGGCUUUUCCUGGCCAGCUUUUAGCCAGGUGGCCUGUCCUUGCAGCUUGGUGUGGGAUGGGUAUCACUGUCCCUGGCAGUGGGGCAGUGCAGAUGCACACGAGAUGUGGUGUGUGCUGCUUUACGUCGUGGAAACGGCAGCUGGGGGCUCAUGCCUGAGUGUGUGGGAAGGGGAGCAAUGACCAGAGCCCAGGCUGUGCUCAGACCUUUUACAUUACAUCUUAUCUGCGCGGGAAGAGGUCUAGCAUGAGUCUCUUUUAGCUAAUGUUAAAGUUUGGUAACAUUAUUACUAUGGUGGUUGUUGGUUUUGUUAUUGUUAUUCUUCUCCUUAUUAUUAUCACUGUGAUUUUUAUUAUAUUAGCUGUGUUGCUGACAUAAAGUUUAUUAUACAUUAAUGUAGUCAUGCUAUAGCAGUCUCUAGAUGUGAUAUACCAAACCCCCUUAAUGCUUCAGCUGAUGUUGAACACAGUCACACCGAUCAGUGCAAUGACCUGUGAUUUAGCAUGCAGAGCAAAAAGCUACCAUACAUCCUUUUGGAAAUACUUGGUAAUCAUUUCCAGCCCCAUUUAAAGAAUAAUGGGUUGUUUAUUUUUUUUUUCCUCUUUCAUAACAGUAGGAAAGUCUGAAAUUGACUUUCCCAGAAAUGAUCGAGGGGGGAGCAAAGGCCAAGAGCUUUGUGCUGUGGCACAGGCAAUUGAGAUGCUGCUCAGAGGUUUUACACGAUGGCGUUUGCUGUGUGACUUGCCGGAUCAUUUGAUUCACGGGGUGCUCUCCGUAUUGCGUCAGGUAGCAGAAAGGCUGCUUAGAGCUUUGUGCCAAAGACCAUGGGAGCUCUCCGCAAGGAAACGAAGUUCUGCUCUCUGAGGGUCCAGUUUCACGCGGACUGGGCAGCCCCAGGAGAUAAGGACCUCCACAAACCUCACCGCACUCUGCUCCAAGUGCAAGGUCCCAGCCCCAUGCUUCCCGCCAGUCAGGAGUAGCGUUUGGAGGAGCCCGGCAGCGUGAUCCUUUGGUAGUUCCCAGGGAUUUUUAGGAUCAUGGGAUGUAUGGACCCCCAAAACCCUCUGGAAAAUGUUGGCUGUGGAUAGAAGCAUCUGGAAGUUCCUACUGUCUUUUUACCCUGUGUUUUCCUGGGUCACCUCUGUCCUGAGGAUUAUAGCAAACCGGUCACUUACUGGAAUACCUCCCCUUGGCAUUUUCUCAAGAUGGAGCCAUUGCUUUACCCAGCAGAAGGAUGGGUUUUUUUCUCCCAGAGCUUUUCCAGCACGACAGCACUCAUGUCCUGCAGGUCUCUGCUGACUUCAAAAAGGAGAGAGGAGGAGCAUGUGGAAGGGAGGUCAGAUCCUGCCAGGGUUUCCUGGGAGAUGAGGUGCAUUCACUGUUCAGAUGAUAAAGCUUGACGAGCUGGGUUUUGCCUUGGAUUACAAUGUUUCAAAAGACUUUCUGAACUCGCUGGGCAACCCUUCCCCUAGGCUUUGGGGACAGGGGAGCUUAAGUUGAAAUCUCCAGUAUCACACAAGGAGAAAGAACAGAGUUGGCUGCUUUGCACAAGUAACUAAAAUCAGUGCUGUGUUGCUGUUGGGAGUGCACAAAAGGAGAAAAGCCUGGAGUAUAGCUCUUGUGUUAGAGAUGGAUUUUUGCCCAGGAGGAAGGUGCACAAGGGAAGAUACAGGAGGAAGGAGGAAAGGUGAUGCUACAAGCCAGCUUCCUGACCUCCAGAGUGGGACUGGCUUCAUAACAAGGUUUUCUAACUAUGGAAGCUCUCCUGAGGAGCUGCAUCAUGCGCUGCUGCCCCAGGGAUGGGACACAGAGCUGGGAGUGAGGAGGAACUCCAAUGUGCCGCUGCGAAUUGCUUUUGUCAGGAGGGAGGCUUUCUGGCAUGUCAUGCGGUGCCGAAAGCCAUCCUACCCUUGACAGCAAAAAUCCUUAUCCUUCUUGUGUUUUUUUCCAGGACAGCUGAUAUUUCCUGUUAGAGAUGCUUUGUAUGCAAAUCAAAGUGUUAAAAAAAAAAAACAACCAAAAAAAAGUCCUGAAAGCAAUCACACCCAUAAACUUGGACCACCGGGGAAUUCCUGCUUAUCAAUUUUUUCUUCUUUUCAGUUCUGUACAAGAUACUUCUUUUCCUGCUUUUUCUUAGUCUUUAAUGUUUGUCCUGCCAGACCUCUUGGUUAUGACCUACCAGUGCUGCUUGGAUUUUGCAGGGCUUUGUGUCAGUCUGCAUGGACAAAAGGCUGUAGGUGCUAGAAGUCGGGGUUAACAGUCCCUGUGUUUCAGCUUUGCCCUGCAUUGCGGUGGUGCUUUCUGGUGUUCAAACUGGACAUGAAUCUCACGCUGCAGAUUGCCAUGUGCCUGUGGUGAUGAUCUGCCUGGGAAGGUGAUCCCAGAAACCUUCAGGAAGGUCAGGGGAGGAAGAGGGGAGGUAGAGAACAAAGAGAAGCCAGCAAAAGUUUAUUUAGGAACUGUUUAAGGAGCAGGAUUUGACCCUCCUGAAGCACCUCAAGAGAGGCCAUGCUUAGCACUGCACUAAUGCAGCAACACGAGUUGGUCACCUCCUCGCUCCAGCAAAGCAAAUUUGUAUCUGCCCAGCCUGUGCCCUAUAGGUAUCCCUAUAAGUGCAGGGGGCUGGUCAAAGCCUCACUUGCACCAUGCUCCCACCCUGCUGCCAGCAGCAGCACCACACUGAUGCUAGAACAAGUUGUGAGGGUGAAAAAAAGACUUGUAGAAGCAAUGCAAGAAAAAGACGUGUCAGAGCAAGAGAGAGCUGCACCACUGCAUGGCCUAGAGAAUAUUGUUGUGUGUGUCCAGAGAUACCCGCUGCAGCCCGGGUCUUGUUGAAUCACACUGUGGUUGCUCUGGCCUUUGUGUGGGUAACGGUGAUAAUCGUUGUAUGUGGUGUUGGGUUUUGUUAUUUGGUUUUUCUUAAAUGUAAAAUUAACAGUCAAAUUGGCGUUGGUAGGGCAGCGAGCCUAGUGCGGCUUUUAUCUACCCUGAACCUGGGGACAAAGGAGGGGAGGGAAAAGGCUUGACCAGUUUGGCGGCUGUGUACAUAACGGUCCCGGAGUUCAAAGCAAAGGACACAACAGUCAGAUACACAAACCUGCCUGGGGUUUGACUGAUAAGUCACAUUUCAAAGCGAAAGUCAAUCCUGAAGGGGGGUCUGUUGAGUGGCUGAAGCCUCCAGUGCUGAGUCCUCUUUAAAAGGGGGUUUCAUAAGGAGUAAUAUGAACAGAAAUGGCUCUUUUGUGGUUUUAUGCAUUCCAGGCAUGCCAGGACUGUUCCUGUCAAGGAUGGGCUGUCUCUGGGGUUUUGGGUUCUUCCCCCCCCCCCAAAAAAAAAAAAAAAAAAAAAAAAAAAUUUGCCACAAACUAGCAGCUAAAAUGGUGAAAAAUAAAUGAGAGUUUCAGAAUCAUUACAGUAGCAGUAAUGGAAACUGUGAGGCUUAUACUUAAACUGGCUGUGGCGUUUCACCGUAUCGUCUACACUGCUGAGCUGCUGGGAUCACUGCUUUUGCCUGCUAUGACUGCUUCAGGGUGGAUUAUUUGGAAGCAGAGCUUUAACUGUUGGUUCCCCAGAACCUGAAAAAUCUGUGCUUUAGGCUUUUUUCAGAAGCAGUGCCUUUUCAGCUGAACCACUGCUAAGUAUGAAUCCCUUUACUGUCAGUGCAGUUAUGUGGACAUACAGCAUCUUUAUGUCAUGACAGCAGCAUUAAUUUCUGCAGGUCUGUGGGUACAGAAAUGGGAUCCAGCUACUCCUGUUUCAGGUGCACUUUUGGUUUCAGGCAAGCUGCGUGAGUUUGGAUUGCACCUGUACACUUUGACACAAAACAGGAUUUUAAAUGAUGUGAGAGCUUCCAUGCACAAAAUGACAGUGCCUUAAACCUUAAAGAAUUGCGGCUGACCUGUGCCUUAGAAGAGGCUGAAGGUUCACAUGUGAUAAAGCACUAGAUGGUUUGUGUAGACCUGGCCUGUUAGAUGGGUGUCUUAAUGCACAAGCCUACACGUCCAGUUCUUGUAGGCAUGUGUGCUGCUCCUGUUGCCGUAGUCCUGUGUGCCAUGGAGGUAGCAGGAGCUCCCAGGUGGCUGAGAAAGCCGUGGACAGAAGUGUUACUGCCAUCACCUUUCAAGCUUGGGUGCUACAGGGAGUAUGGCCAUAACAGUGUGUAAUUAAGUGUGGACCUCAAAUGCCCCUGAGACACCCGGCACAAACACUCAGCACCUUUAUGAGCAGCACCACACUGAUUACCUCUAUGGGCUGGAGCUGCACCUCUGCGUGCUCUGAUGAGACUAAUCCCUCCAUGCAGGGAGCAGAAAACUGAGCCAGGCUCAUCCUGGCAGAGGCUGAGCCAUGGGGCCAUAGAAAACUGCCCAGAGAAUUUGCUUUUCAGCCUGGGUUUGGCCAUAGCACGAGUGCAGGUGGAGAGUAAAAUGCAGAGGGUGAGAAAACAUCUCUUAGAAGGUGGCAAUAAAAGGCAUUGUUGAAAUGAAUCAUCUGGCUUGGUUUUAUUAAAUAUGAAUAUGGUUAUUAGUGAUGAACGGGGAUGGGGUGGAUUUACGACAUGGUGCCUGAAGCCCCUUCCCUCCCUCCGACACAGGCUGAUGUUACAGAAAAAUCUCAAGGCUGUCACUUGGGCUGUUGUAGGUCUGUGGGUGAAGGAACUUUAAUCACUGGGGUUGUUGUCAAAUGCUGCACUUUUAACAAGAUACAAGAAAUUAAGAUCUCACGUUAAUUCAGUGCUCAAUAUAAAUAUUUUUCACCUGAGAGGUGUCUGGGCUUGUAGCCUUCUGGGCUGCUUGCCAUUUUGGGUUUGUUUCUUUUUCUUUUUCUUUUUUUUUUUUUUUUUUUUUUUUAAAAAAAAAAAAAAGAGGGGUUUUUUAUUCCAUCAGUGCUUCCAACCACAGAAAUUUGGAAACAAAAAGUUGGAAGGUGUAGUCAGUAGCGAGCUGUCUUUUACUGGGCCUGUCUCGCAGAGGAGGUUUUGAAGUGGAUUUUGCUGUGGCCACUCAGAGUCUCUGCUGUGGAAAUAUUUAUCACUGUGAAACUGCAGCAAGCUUUGCAAGUGGCAGAAAAACCCUACUUUUGUAACCAAAUAAAUGUGUUUUCCUUACAAGUUACACAGAUAGGUGUAUGUGGUGUAUGUUUGUAAAAUUUUUUGUUUUCAACCGAAAUUGCUUUUCCACUGUGUCAUCUAGAGCGGGAAAACAAGUAGACCUUGAGCUGCAUUUUAAUGUAGGUUUCAUCCAUUUGACUGCAGCAGAAAGUUAUGUUGGGAUGCUCUGUUAUCCUUCUGGUGUGUCCUUGCUUGAUAUUUUGUGCUUGAGAAUCUCCAUUUUCCCUCUCUUUGAUGGUUUGAGAGUUUUGAUAGAGAGGGCAAAAAACGUAUAAAAAUUUUCAUGUUCUUUGGAAGGCUCCAGCAAGUCAUGCAGUGGUGAAGAGAUGCUGACAGCCGGUGGAAGAGCCAGUUUUUGACAGCAUAGGAAGUGAUUAGUGCCUCAUUUGAUGUCCUCACAUCAAAGCUGGAUGGUAUGUAUAUAUUUCAGUAUGUGUGGCAAAAGCAACUCUACCUUAAUUAUUGUGGGCCUUCUGUGACCACAGGAAUGUAUGAUGCCUAACGCCAGCCCUGAUAGAACAAAUAUCUGAGGACCAGCUCAUCACUGCAGCAUAGCCAACUGUCUAUUCUCUGUUCCCUGUGGGAAUUGUGCAACAUGGGAUCCUACAAGGCAAAGACGGGGGUAAAGCUCAUCAGGCAGCACAUGUGCUUUUGUUAGUGUCCAGUUACUCCAUCUGCAAGCCAGUGAAGCUGGGGCUGCAGGAGCUGGCAGUAAGGAAACGCCGUAGUUGCCUGGCUGCGUAGGAGUCCCUGAGCUCCAAAUGUGGCUUCUGACAUGGUGCCACUCAGCACUCGGAGGCUUUAGCAGCUCAGUGCACAUCCCUGGUUGUAUGCCCCAGGCUUGGCGUGUCUUUGUGGCAGCCUGGACCCACUUUUCUUUGCAAGAAAGAGCUCCAAGACCCUUCCUGUCCUACAGCAAGGCUUCUAUCCAGACCUCAACAUGGUCUUCAGUCAGGGUUUGCAGACUAGGCUGGAGCAAUAGGCAGAUGUUUUGUGGUGAGGCCAUGGUACAUGGGACAAGAUGGUUUGAUGCGCCCAAGGCUGCUUUCUGUCACUUGCCAAAUAGCAUAGGACAACCUGUACCCGUAGGGCAUAACCUCUACAGCUUUUCACGUUGGGGGACUGCAACCAGCUGGUCAUUGGGAAUAGCCCAUGUUGGCUGCUGGUCUUCAUUCAGGAAGGUGCUGGUUGUCAUGAGCCAGGAGGGCACGAAGGAGCGUUGUAAUGGCAGAGGUGAUUUGUAUACCGGUGUCUGGCAAUAUUCCCUCACACUGUUGAGUAGUAAAGAUGUAAUCGUUUUUGCACUGAUUAAAUAGUGCCAGUGCAAAAAAAACCCCUCAUUUAUGCUCAUUUAUGGCAGUUGAAUGAAUUGUGUUGUAAUUGGGAACAAAGAAUUCAGGUUCUGACUAAAGCCUGAGUGAGGCUGUCGGGGGAGCACGGUGUCAAGGAGGGACUUGAAGGGGUUGUCCUGUAAUCCUGUGAAAGUGACCUCUCGGUGGAGCAGUGGGACAGAAGGGAUCUCGCAACUGGAGAGCAAGAAGGAACAGGGAGAUGAGUUUGUCCCUUUAAAGGGGGACACACUGACUGGUACCUGUGCUUGACAGAGUAUGGGGAAAUGCCAGGAAGAAUUCAAAGGAGAGCCAUGAAUGGCUUGGGAUUACCAAACCAGAACUCCAGGUUUAAGGAGCUUAGUUUAUUUGGCUAAUUGGGAUGAAGGCUGGCAAGGGGGUGACUUGAUUGCCGCAUCUAGUGGAAGAAAGCUUUGAUCAGGAAGCUCGGGAAGGAAGGAAUCCUUGGAAGUUUUACGCCUUCUUCCCUGAUUUUAGAGGAAAUCUCUCUAGGGUGGCAGCUUUAGUCUAAAAUACUGAGCUUAUUAUGUAGAGGUCUUGUGUGAAAGGGACUGGUCUGCAGAGUACUGAAGGCAGGAUGGAUCAUUUGAGUCUUUGUCUUUAUGCUCAGAGCUCUAAUACUCCCCAGCAUCUUCCUUCCUCUAUCCCUGGGGUAGGGCAGUUCUCCCGCAAUGCUGGGCAUAGCUGAAACUAUCAGGUCAAAACGCUUUGGAGCCAUCUCAUCUUAAGGCAGGCAUCUAAAACAGGUGGGUUUCCCUCUGGUAAUGACUGUUGUUCUCCAGGGACUGUGGGAGGAAGCCAGAAGCUGAUUGAGAUGUGGACUGGUACAUCGUGGAUGUCUGAGGCUGCACAAAGAUGAAACCCCCCUCUCACCGCCUGCGCGAGUGAGAAGGAGCUAUUAGCACAAAGCACCUAAUGAAGAGCCAUCUGAAACCAUUUGAGAUGAAAAUAAUACGGAAACUUUUAAUCAGCUUGCAGAAGCUGAACAGUCCCUGGAGGUCCUGUACCAAGCCUGACCCACUUGCUAGGUCCCAGUGGUGCGACACCGGGUGCCCCUCCACCUGCCUUUGGAGGAGGGAAGGGACAGCGAUCUAAAAAGAGACAAGCACAGGGGAAGGCAAUGAGUUGUAAGACUUUAUUAAGAACGAGUUGGGGUAUUGUGAUCAUUAUUAAAUGCAAGCCUGCCUUCUGCAGCAUUGCUUUUUUUGAGCUGCUGAGAAAGGAGGCAGGUAUUUGGAGAGAUUCGUUUUCAACCCAGUUAAAUGAUUUCCCAGUUCCUUCUCUGCACCCCUGCUUACCACAUCCCAGUCUCUCCAGCUGUGCCAUGUUUGGGAAGCGGCUGUGAGCGUGUGUCCUCGGGGCUGAGCCCCAGCACUGUAAGUGGCCUGGUGUCAAGGGCUACUCCCAUCCCUGUAGGCUGUAGCCUGCUUUGCAGUGAGGGAGGGAGGGCUGUUGGACCGGCACCUAGCAGCAUGACUGUUCUGCCAAAUGUCCCCGUUUGCUGGCAGGACUGCCUGCAGCAGAGGCUCGUGAGGAACCCAGGCUCCCAUCCCUAAGCUUCCUCAAGGAGGUGUGACCACUUUGACACAGCUUCAGAUUGGAACAUCUAAGUGGACAAAGCAACAGUGGGUAAAAAUCAAAUCCAAAAUCUCUGAGCUUUGAGAAGAUGAUAGCAGUGGACUAUUUGCAGCAAACUGUAAUCCAUAUCCCCUUCCAGGAAGAUGUUGCUGGGAAGACAAUGCCCACAUGCUCCUUGGAAGGGCUUGCUGAACUGCCAGACGAGCACCGAGCUUUCACCCACCUGUGUGUACCCAUCCCACAGGCUGCAGCUGGGAUGCCGUUUGCCCUCGUUGGACCCCAGGAGGAUGCAAGGUGCUGGCCUGCGAUGCUCCAGGGCCUUCGGACAACACUCCAGAGUUGUGAGAGCAAACACUCCAAAAGUGAGAGCAAACCACUUCCUCCUGUGUACAACACACCUUGAUUUUCUGAGUUUUUUUCUUUUUAUUUCCUUUUCACUGACUGACUGAAGUACAAAUCCCUUUCACCUAUUUGACAUUUUUUUUUGUUGUUUUUAUUUUUUUGUGUUUGUUUUUUAACUGAUAGGGUUAACGAUGCUAUUAUAAACCUAACAUUCAUGGUAUGUUUUUGAGUUAUCUGAAAAGUGUGAGUCGUUACAUAAAAUGUGAGAAUAGUUGGGAUUGUGGGAUAAUUUUUUUUAAUCCCUGAAUUUCAUUCUCAGUUUUGAAUGAAUCAAAUGUAUUUCACGGGACUGAAAAAGCUGGGAUUUCCCCCCUUUUCUUUCUGCA